UCGCGGGGAAGAAGGAGAAGAACACGAAGUGGUCAUGUUCAUUGUGUGAUGUGUUGUUUCGCUUGUGGACAAUAAUGAAUGGAGUUAGUUGAAGAGUUCCGGUUUGCUCGGACCAAUUGGUUUAAACCGGUUCACAUGCUUAGAGAAAUUAGGACGUAUAUACACAAAUUUCACAAAUGUUAGAAAAAUAGCACUGGACUAUUCCAAUUUAUUUUAAUACCAUUUCACCCCUACAACCAAACACGCUUACUCUAUAUCUACUCUACAUAUAAUAUCAGAAGAUAUCACCAGACCCACCUAUUCUUCGUUUGAUCCCUUUCUAAACAGUAAUAUCUCCCAAAUCAUUUUUUUUUUCAUUUAAUCAAAAAUUAUAAUUUUUCUACAGAGACCAAAUCUAGAUAAUUUACCGUCGGCCAUUCCACAGAUUAGUGAGAUUGUCACCACGCCGGAGCCUGUUGUGGUCACUGAUUUUGACAUCAAAUCAGAGUCUGGCUGAAAUGAAUCUCAAGAAGAAGGAGAGGAGAUCGAUGGACCACCCUCCCGCCGAAAAUAGUUCGAUAUUGUGUAAGCCCCACACACGCUAGAGAGCUGGAUGAAAAAUGCAAGGCUGAGAUGAUUUCAAUGGUAGUGGAUGCAACACAUUCUCAGAAGUGCUGACGUGAGAAGACAAGGUUGAUGAGGAACAUGUUGGCAACCUUGUACGACUAAUCGAGCAAGGUCAUGUGUUCAACAAGUCUAUGUACGCUACACUUAGAUUUGCUCCGAAUUUUUCUUUGAUUUUCCAGUGUACCUUACACAAUAACCUAACAAAACGAGUGCAUAGGGGAGAUAAUAGUUGCACAGCUAUUUUAGAACAGUAACCUAGGAUUGUACUUGCGAAGAUCCACCGAAUCAAAAAGUGUUCACUUUUCUC